rnacentral:misc_RNA from 1 species
UGUACACACCGCCCGUCACACCAUGGAAGUUGGUCACGCCCGAAGUCGUUACCCCAACCGCAAGGGGGGGGAUGCCUAAGGUAGGACUGAUGACUGGGGUGAAGUCGUAACAAGGUAGCCGUACCGGAAGGUGUGGCUGGAUCACCUCCUUUUAGGGAGACCUAAUCCAUUUAGAAAUCGAAAGCAGUGAAAAUUGCCCAUAGAAACUAAAUUGGUCUAACCUAGGUCGGUCGCAGACUUGAAGUAAAGCUUUCAAACUAUGAUUUGGUUCGAUAAGGGCUAUUAGCUCAGGUGGUUAGAGCGCACCCCUGAUAAGGGUGAGGUCCCUGGUUCGAGUCCAGGAUGGCCCACCUGAAGCAAGUCAAAAGUAAAAAGUCAAAGGUCAAAGGUAUAUUCCUUUUGAAUUUUGCCUUUUGAAUUUUGAAUUGUUUUUGGGGGUUUAGCUCAGUUGGUAGAGCGCCUGCUUUGCAAGCAGGAUGUCAGCGGUUCGAGUCCGCUAACCUCCACAUUGGAAAAAAGACAGCACCUAACAAUAAAAGUUAGACUGCUGGGUGAAAUUCCAGCCAGAACCUUGAAAACUGCAUAAGAGAACUAGAAAAAGCAGGCAGACACAGACAUUUAAAUGGAUGUGAAAGCAAAGAAAAAUUGUGGUCAAGCUAAUAAGGGCUAAUGGUGGAUACCUAGGCACACAGAGA